rnacentral:rRNA from 1 species
AUUGAACGCUGGCGGCAGGCCUAACACAUGCAAGUCGAGCGAGCGGCGGACGGGUGUGUAAUGUCUGGGAAACUGCCUGAUGGAGGGGGAUAUCUACUGGAAACGGUAGCUAAUACCGCAUACCAUCGGAUGUGCCCAGAUGGGAUUAGCUUGUAGGUGGGGUAAAGGCUCACCUAGGCGACGAUCCCUAGCUGGUCUGCGAGGAUGACCAGCCACACUGGAACUGAGACACGGUCCAGACUCCUACGGGAGGCAGCAGUGGGGAAUAUUGCACAAUGGGCGAAAGCCUGAUGCAGCCAUGCCGCGUGUAUGAAGAAGGCCUUCGGGUUGUAAAGUACUUUCAGCGGGGAGGCGUUACCCGCAGAAGAAGCACCGGCUAACUCCGUGCCAGCAGCCGCGGUAAUUC